GCCUGAGUGGCUCAGUGGUUGAGCGUCUGACUUUGGCUCAGGUCAUGAUCUCACGGUUCGUGGGCUCGAGCCCCGCGUCGGGCU
rnacentral:tRNA from 1 species